AGAAAGAAAAGGCAUAAAGUGGGGCUGCUAACUCUGCUUUGGGCGGCUCGAUUCCGUCCUCUUUCUU
rnacentral:tRNA from 1 species